CGCUAGCCCUUGGCUUCACCCCUGCAAGUCGAGGGGCAGCGGGAUUGAAGCUUGCUUCAAUUGCCGGCGACCGGCGCACGGGUGAGUAACACGUAUCCCACCUUCCGUUUACUCGGGGAUAGCCUUUCGAAAGAAAGAUUAAUACCCGAUAGUAUGGUGGGAUUGCAUGAUAGCACCAUUAAAGAUUCAUCGGUAAACGAUGGGGAUGCGUUCCAUUAGGUAGUAGGCGGGGUAACGGCCCACCUAGCCUUCGAUGGAUAGGGGUUCUGAGAGGAAGGUCCCCCACAUUGGAACUGGGACACGGUCCAAACUCCUACGGGAGGCAGCAGUGAGGAAUAUUGGUCAAUGGGCGAGAGCCUGAACCAGCCAAGUAGCGUGAAGGAUGAAGGUCCUACGGAUUGUAAACUUCUUUUAUAAGGGAAUAAAACGCUCCCCGUGUGGAGCCUUGUAUGUACCUUAUGAAUAAG
rnacentral:rRNA from 1 species